UUUUCCAGAGAAGAGAAGCUUUACUGGUGUUCCAGUCCUAAGGCUCAUAACGACAUUAACAGACACUUUUCAGAAAGACAGGUAAGUCAUUUGUUAAAAUCUCACUACUAUUGUUUAACAGAAACAUAUAUAUGCAUGUAUAUGUGUGUACUGUAUGGAAAAAGUGGAAUUAGAGUUUAUCUAGAAAAGAAAAAAUUACCUCAUCUAAGUGCAGAAAUGAAUAAUCCUUAAACCACACCAUACAAUUGUCUCUAUCAUAUUUCCACAGAUAAGUCAAAAAUUUUAAAAAUCUUAUCGUUCACGCAUAAAUGCAGAAAACAAUACCUCUAGUAUAUGUUUGUAUUCUAUUGUACAUUCACAGAAGCUGUUUGGUACUUAAUACUAUGUUUAUUAAGAAAACAAAUCUUUGCAAUGGUUAUGGAAUUAAAAUUUCAUGUAAAAAUGAUUAUGCAGAUCAAGAAAAGUUGCAAUUUUCUGGACUCCUGAUAUUUUAAAUAAAAGUAGUUUCCAAAGG
rnacentral:antisense_RNA from 1 species